rnacentral:rRNA from 1 species
GAUGAACGCUGGCGGCGUGCCUAAUACAUGCAAGUCGAGCGAACAGACGAGGAGCUUGCUCCUCUGACGUUAGCGGCGGACGGGUGAGUAACACGUGGAUACCUACCUAUAAGACUGGGGUAAAUUCGGGGAACCGGGGGUAAUACCGGAUAAUAUAUUGCACCGGAUGGUUUAAUAAGGGAAAACGGUUUUGCUGGUCCUUAUAGAUGGAUCCGCGCCGCAUUAGCUAGUUGGUAAGGUAACGGCUUACCAAGGCAACGAUGCGUAGCCGACCUGAGAGGGUGAUCGGCCACACUGGAACUGAGACACGGUCCAGACUCCUACGGGAGGCAGCAGUAGGGAAUCUUCCGCAAUGGGCGAAAGCCUGACGGAGCAACGCCGCGUGAGUGAUGAAGGUCUUCGGAUCGUAAAACUCUGUUAUUAGGGAAGAACAAAUGUGUAAGUAACUAUGCACGUCUUGACGGUACCUAAUCAGAAAGCCACGGCUAACUACGUG